CUUGGCAUUCCUCCAUUCGGCAAGGAUUCCUUGGACUGUGUCAGCCCCCCUCCCCCUGGGCAAGAGGCAAAGUCAGCCCCUCCCUGCCAGGUGGACCCCCUUCCUCUUCUGCACGUUUACUGCAUGCUGCCUGCUCCUUGGCAGUCCUCUCUGCUGGGCCUCCCAAAGUGUUCAAUCACCUCCGAUGUUCAUGGAUUUAAGUGCCUUGUGCCUUAUUCAUCUCUAGGUGGCCACUCGCCCCAAAGCACUCCCUUCUGGAAGGGGCAAACUGACCCUGCCCAGUUAUCCAGUGAAGGUAGGCUGAAGAGCCUUGGGUGGAGGCUUAUAAUUAGAAUGCUCACGAGUUGGGAAGUGUUCUCUGGGUGUGGAGGGGAACUGGGUAACGUGAGCUCCCCUUCUUCAUCAGCUUCCUCUUCCUCUGUUUGGGCAGGGCUCAAGGGUUCUGUAGACACAUUCGACAUUCCUCACGCCCAGCUUGGUUUUUCCAAGUUCUCUUUUUCCUUUUAUUGAAGUCACUCGUUUUCUUCAGCUUCUCCCACUAUUUGUAAGAGUUUCUACCUCUUACAAAGCAGAUUUCUUCUCAGCCUGAGCUCUCAAGACUGACUAGCUCCUUCUGAAUUCUUUGUGAAGCUUCUCUGACCUUCAGUGUCACACCUCCCAGUACACGCCCAGUCCCCUACUCCCACCCUCAACCGUUUCAACUCAUUCAGGGCUCACGGAGAGGGAGAGGAAGGAGCCAAAUGAUUCACUUCAACAAAGCUGUCAUGAGCACAGGCACUAUGCUAGCCAGGGACCAGCACUGAAGCCUUGGAGACAUGCCCAGUCCAGGCACAGAGCACAAAAGCACAGAACUCAAGAUCGGUGGUUGGCCAUCCCCUGCUUCACACCGGUCCAAAGAGUGGGAUCAAAGCAUACUGAAUUCAUCUUGAAAUUCCUGACAACCUGAGGGAGACAAAGGAGGCGAGUACACCCCUGUUCAGUCCUCACUCAAGCAGGACGACAUUAUGGCUAACGUUUCUAGAAGCCAUCUUGAACCAAGAAGCGACCCUGAGGAUGGAAGUCACACGCCAGGAUGACAGAAGCCGCCUGGGUCCCUUGUGGCUGGGAACGGCCAAUUAGUCUGGACUCCUCCAUAUGGACAUUUUUUUACUUGGGAGAGAAAUAAACUAUCAUCGUGUUUAAACCACUGUUGGCUGGGUUUUCAGUUACAUGCAGACA